CAGAGGCUGCAAAAAGAGCAGGGUAUCUGGAUGCUGACUGAAGAGGGUAGUUUACAUGUCA
rnacentral:SRP_RNA from 12 species